rnacentral:rRNA from 1 species
AGUGAACGCUGGCGGCGUGCUUAACACAUGCAAGUCGAACGAGAACGGAAUAUAGCUUGCUAUAUUUGUCAGCUAAGUGGCGCGCGGGUGAGUAAUGUAUAGAUAACCUGCCCUUAAGAAAGGAAUAACAGUUGGAAACGACUGCUAAUGCCCUAUAUGCCUUUAAUACAUAAGUAUGCAAGGGAAACGCUUUAGUGCUUAAGGAUGGGUCUGUAUGGUAUCAGCUUGUUGGUGAGGUAAUGGCUCACCAAGGCUAUGACGCCUAACUGGUUUGAGAGGAUGAUCAGUCACACUGGAACUGAGACACGGUCCAGACUCCUACGGGAGGCAGCAGUGGGGAAUAUUGCACAAUGGACGAAAGUCUGAUGCAGCAACGCCGCGUGGAGGAUGACACAUUUCGGUGCGUAAACUCCUUUUAUAUAGGAAGAUAAUGGCGGUACUAUAUGAAUAAGCACCGGCUAACUCCGUGCCAGCCGCCGCGGUAA